ACCAUGCUGCAUAGCCUCUGAAGAGGAAAACAUCAGGACCAACAGAAAUAAAUUCCCUUCCUUUGGCAUCCAGGUUGUUUUUGAAGAUUCAGAUACAGCCAUCAUCUUCAAUGUACACAUAGCUGCAAGAAUUUGUUAGUUUCCUGUGCCCACAUUAGCUUAAAGAGCAUUUUGUAAUGGACUAAAUAAGAGCAGUAUCUGCAUUUCUAGUCAAGUAUUUCAAAGCAUUACAUAGACAGUUUCUCUUAAUGUCAGAGUCAGGUAUUACUCCCUCUGAAUUACAUGAAGGUGCAAAUUUCAUUCCCAUCUGAAGAGAGAAGAAUCCAAAGUCAUUAGUAAACAGAAAAGUUCUCCAAAAAAAUUUAUUUUCAUAAAUUAAACACACGCACACAAAAAAUGAAAUUUUAGAUUCACAAACUACUAAACAGAAACAAAACUGCAGGGACAUGAUAGAUCAACGUUAUAAAAGUGUACAAAUUUUCACCCAACUAUUAGCAUGACGGCAUCAGACAUCUCAUCCAGGCAGUUAUUACCAGCGCUUUAACAAAGUAGCUGAAGCAUAGCACAUAACAGAACCCAAUUCUGAAUCAGAUAUGCUAAAAUUGGAAUGGCUUGCAAAAAAUCAUAUCCAGCAAACACCGGAACUUGUGUACACAGGCCUAGGUGCACAGGCCAAGGUGCUCCCCUCAAUAUGUAUCAGGUAAUCUUUGCUGCUGGGUUUGUAACUGGAUAAAAUGUAUAUCUUUUCUUUCAGGAAAAUGAUACCUCCCCUGCCUAGCUGUGCUUGUCAAAAGAAGCUCAACUUCCUUGCAGGGCUCAAGAACUCUGCAAAAUCUUUUCUAAAAUACUUAGUACAGUCACUCAGGGUGAUAUGUGCAGGGCCUUUUCCACAAUUAUAUAAAAGUCCGUAUGAAGUGGCACCAUCUUACCAAAAGGCAACUGUACAUCUGUUUCAAUGAAGAGAAUGCAAGUACUCAUGAAUCUGCAUCCUCUACAUCUCUCUCAUACAGAGUAGCUGGGUCAGAAGCAAGUCAGACUGGAGUUGGAGAGACCCAGUUGUUGCAUUCUUAUUGCUCCCAGCAUGCCAGAUGCUGCCACAGGCAACAGUCAAAGACAGACUGUUCUGUGAGCACUGCAAACAGUAACAGGGCCAGAGAGGAGGGAGGGGAGGUAGGCACAGAACCACAAAUUAAGCUAAUAUACCUGGAGAGAGGUGUUUUAUCCAUCAUACAGUGGAAAAAAAAAAAAAAAAAGAAAAGAAAAGAAAAGAAAACAGAAAGGAAAGAAGCUAGUGUUAGUCUGAAAGCUGGACAUGUUUCCAGAAGUGCUGUGGAUGCUCUAAGAAAAUCAAAAUGGCCUGUUUUUAAAAUCCAAUUUUAA
rnacentral:lncRNA from 1 species